GACCUGGGUUCUUUUCCCAGCUCUUCUAGUGGGCUGCUGGGUGACCCUGGGCAAGUCACUUAACCACUUGUGCCUCAGUUUCUCAUAUAUAAAAUGGGAAUAAUGAUACUGAUGUCCUUUGUAAAGCACUUUA
rnacentral:snoRNA from 1 species